rnacentral:rRNA from 1 species
GCUUAUGGCCACAUCAUGUUGAAUGCAGCAGUUACCGUCUGUUCACUCAAGUCAAGCAAUGUUGAACCUAGUUAGAAUUUAGAUGGGUGACUGUUUGGGAAACAUUGAUAUUGUAAGUA